rnacentral:lncRNA from 1 species
ACUUUGUCAAGGGCCAGCGUUGGUUUCUCGUCUGGACUACUGUUUGCAAACUGCUGACUUACAAAAUGGUAACAGCCUCCUAACAAUGGGUGAAUCUACAGGAUGUCAAGCAGCAACUCUCAGGUGAACCACUCAGUCAGUGGAUCUGGUGUUAACUAUACAAUGCCAAAUGUCUUCUGGUGAUCUGAAGACAUCAGGGGCUUUUCUAUCAUGUAGACCAAACAUGAUUCAGGUGCAAAAAAGGGCCUGGAAGACUGCGUACGGAAAAAUGGGGCAGCAGUGUGAGAGUAUUCUGAAACAACGCGAAGACAGAAAUAGCAGCGCCGACAGAGUUGCAGAACUCCAGAGCCAGAAGGAUGAUAUCUCAACAAAUGACAGAGCCCAAUUCAUUGACUCCAAUAAGAACGACACGCGUCUAUUAUAACUUUACAAGAUGGAAAGUACAUACAGAAAAAUUUUGAAGUUUUAAGAGUUAAAUCUUAUAGUCCUAUAUGAAAGAAUGGAUCAGCAAAUUCAAAUAUUCAUAUCUUAUUGGGCUCUAUUUCCUGUAUUUUUCUCACAUGCCACUCUUUUAAAAUAGGUAUCUAUGUAUGUGUCAACAACCUUUGAAUAAGCCAGAGCAACUAGGCAAGAAAAAAAAAAAAGAACAGCUAAACUGGAAAGAAGGAAGUCAAAUUAUCCCUGUUUGUAGAUGACAUGGUCACAUAUAUAGAGAAACCUAAACAUUCUACCAAAAAAACUCUUAGAAUUGAUCAACAAAUUCAGUAAAUUUUCAGGAUACAAAAUUGACAUGAAAAAUCAGUAGCAUUUUUAUACAUGAACAACAAACUAGAUGAAAAACAAAGCAAGAAGGCAAUCCCAUUUACAAUAGCUACAAAAAUAAUUAAAUACAAUAAUGUAACCAAGGUAGUAAAGAUCUCUACAAGGAAAACCACAAAUGAGAGAAACUAAAGAGGAUAAAAAUAAAUGGAAAGACAUUCCAUGCUCAUGCAUCAGAAUAAUUAAUAUUAUUAAAUGACCAUACUACCCAAAGCAACCUACACACUCAACGUAAUCCCUAUCAAAAUACCAAUGACAUUCUUCACAGAAAUAGAAAAAAGCCUUAAAAUUUGUAUGGAACCACAAAAAACACAAUGCCAAAGCAAUAUUAAGCAAAAAAGAAAGAAGAAAGAAAAAAAGAGAGAAAGAGAGAAAGGAAGGAAGGAAGGAAG